ensembl:lncRNA
GUUGGUUCACCAGGGCGCACUCUGAGCUGGAAUCGCUCCAUUGACUGAAACUGCCGGGAGAUGUCUCUUCAGAUUCAGUCCUAGACCCACAAAACUGCCUGGGGAAGAUGGGGAACUGUGGUACAUUCAUCAGGAAAAGUCCAGUUCUGGGAACAGGUUCGUUUUUAAUAAGGUUAAGUGUGCAUGCACUUACACGAUUGAGUUAACACAGCCAUGAGCAGUUUAUUUAAAGACGUACUGCCUAACACAGCUUUCUGGUGCCUUAAUGAUCACUUCCUAAUAUUGCUGCUAUAAAUACUUCCAUGAUUCACGUCUCCUGCUGCGGAACAGGCAACGAAUCUCCAGGAAGGAAGUACAGAACUGGAUCUUUUUUUUCUGAAAGGUACUCCUUGGAGUUCUAUUAUAACUCCAUAUAAUUUGUGCCAGAAAGUCGUUCACAGGAAACGUAUAAAAAAUAGCCAAUAAAGAUGGCUUUAUUUUUCAAGUGCUGGCAGUGGAAAAUGCACCUCUGAAAUCCUCCCCUGGGAUGUUUGCCGGUCUUUGUGUUGCUGUACUUCUGUGAGACACUGCUGGUGUCACACCAGAAAGCAGCAGUCUCCAUUGGUCUCCGUCCCGUGGGGCUUUGCCAGCUUUAUUUAUCCUCGUGAGAGUAAUGGAUCCCCUAAAUGAAAGGAUCAGGUAGGAGGCUGGAAGCAAUCUCUUCCCAGCUCCUUAUUAGUAGCGGCAACCGUUGCCAGAGGGCAUUGUGGAGCCCGAAAGCAUAACCGUGUUCAAAGAGGGAUUAGACAAAUUCCUGAAUGGCAUUUGCCUGGGCGGCUGUUAAACCCGAUAAUCUCAGUGCAAACCUCCUGUUGAGGAUGGCCCUGAUCCACGGUUUGCCAGGGACAAGGGAACACUGAGGGUGGAGUGACUGCUGUGCUGCACGUCCUGCCCUCACCGCGUUGUGCCACAGCCUCUGCUGGCCCUGCCAGCCCUGCAGUGCUGGCUGCAGCUCUGCAUUGCCAGGAAAUGGCAGCAGGAGCCCCACUGCUGUGCACGCACAAAGUGUGCCGUGUUAACAGCAAGAGAGGGAAAGCUGUGACUUCUCCCUCGCUAUUUCUUGAAACAUUUCUGGAGGAGCUGAGCUCCCUCUUGCCGGGUUGCUUCCAUCAGGUGAUGUGCAGACACCGCUGCCUUGUCCACCUAACAUGGAAAGAAAGAGAAGUGAUUUCUUGCACUCCUACUGAGUUGUCUUUGAAUGAAAGGCGGCAUUCAUUACUGGGGAAAGAGUCAUGGGAAAAUGCAAAAGCUGCAUCACUGAAAGAGAAAAAUCCCUGAAGCUCACUGCAGAAGCCAUAGACACAUCCCAUAGAGCACCCAACAGUUAACAUGUAUGUUCUGGACAGGGAGGAGAUGGUAUGGAGAAAGGUAGGAGAAAACAAGGAGGAGGAAAGGAGAUGGGAAGGAGAAAAUAAGGAGAAGAAAAGGGGAAGGGAAGGAGAAAGGAAGGAGAAAGGAAAGAUGCCCCACUGGGGUCAUCAGCAUCUCACAGCUCUCCUUUCUUGGUGCCAGAGGUGUAGCUUCUGAGCUGGCCGGGGGUGUCCUACAGAAAUGUAAAUAUUAAUUAAGAGCAAGAAUUACAAUCCAGGUCAUUGCAUGGGUCAAUCCGAGCUCCAAGCUUUGUGAGCAUAACUAACCUGCUGUAUUUUUAUUUAGGGGGGAAACAAAUCCUGGUCUCUGGAGGUGUGCUGAGGCUCACUGCACCUUACCUCCUGCAGACGCUGGAUCUGGAGCUCUGCUCCAAAUGAAGGUCCCACUGCAGUGGAGCUGCAGGAAUGCCCCAGCAAGGCAAGGGUCCAUCUGGUCCUGCUUUUCCACAACUCCAUUCACGGAGGGAAAAAGUUAUGGAGAAUAAUCAAAGAAAAACAUAUAACAUGAUAGCUAAUAUUUCAUGGUUGUGUGACAGCUCAGAAUUCAUUGCUGUGUUGCGGAGCACUGCAGUGCAAACAGGAGCAUAGGAAAGUCAACUGCACUGCGGGCUUUGCUUCCUACCCACCUGCUGGGUUUUUGGCACUGUGUCUGAUGGGAAUAUUUGCUCUCCGUGUGGUGACAGCGUGAAUGCCACCGUUCCAAGGAAGAGCCCAUUGAGCCCCCACAGGUUAGGAGUGGGGGUGCAGCAUCUCGCAUCCCAUCCCAUCGCAUUCCAUCCCAUCACAGCCUUUGUGAGGUUUGGGCUCUGGCUGGCAGUCGUGUGCCACGAUCAGCACAGUGUGUUUGUACAGCCAGGCAAGAUCUUCUCAUCAGAGCAACACCCCUCCUCUUUGUUCAUUUAUUUUUGAAGGGAGAUUGCCCCACUGAACCUCCCACUGACCCUGCUUCUCUCCAGGUGGGAGACCAGAGAAAGGUUAUUUUCAGUCACUAAAGGUUUUACAUGCUUUAAAAUAAUAAAGUCUGGUGAAAAAACAUUCUACCUCAGGCAUGAACUUUUAACGACUCCAUUUCAUAAUCUUUUCAAAGAAAGAUCCCUGUUAAACCAACCGAGACUUCCAGCUCUUUUUGUUGCUGGCUUAAAGAGCUGGCGCUGAAUGCUGCUCAGCGCUAUUUGCUCUGCCCAAUUCCCCCUGCAGGUUUUGCUAAACGUUAUAGUGUGACACAGUACAGACUCUCAGUGACAGUGACAUCGUCUGCACAUAAGAUCCAGGAGCCAUCAGCCUCACGUGUAUAUGAAGAAUAUAUUCCAGCGUGAUGUGCAGUGUGCUUGGUUGGCUGCACUGGAAAGAUUUCCAGAUAGCUAUCGAUUUUCCCAUCCUGUAAUUAGUUCAGAGAUUACUAGCAUAGAAAAUAUUGCUCUAGAAAUUGAUUUCUGUAGUUGUUCGUUGCACCAAAACUAUAGUAUGGCUGCGAAGCACGUCACAUGUUGUCUGCAGACUUUGAACUUUGGAGAAAUGCUGCCACAGUAAACCCCAAGGAGAAAUCACAUGGCUGGUGAUUUUGCCAUCUCAGAUUAAGUGAAAUCCUGCCAGCUAUUUGAAUUUCAAAGUUCAUCCUUAUAGAUCUUGCAGGAUUAAGGUCCAAAGGAGAGACUGCCUCUUAUCUUGUAACUGAGAGCACCUGUGAGGCUGAGUGGGUCAGGAUCCAAGCAAGCAUCAUAUGAUGGUACAGUUCUGCUGUGCAGGGACCCUGUUGUGCUGGGACAGGUGCUCAUCUUUGACUAUUUGUCAUUAAUCUGUGCCCUGUGCUCCCUGUCACCCUUUGCCCAGUGCCCCUGUGGAGAGGUCCCAGAUCCACGAAGCAUCCUACAUCCUACAUGCAUCCCAACAUAGGCAGCACUUGGCUGGGAGCUCUGUGCACCGCUGGGGAAUGGAAACCCCUCCGCCCCUUUUUCCAGUCCACAGAACUACCCUUAGUCACCAUCACGAUGCAGAUGCUGCAGUGCUAACAGCCAGCUACCAAAACUCUCAGGGUGCAACCUGCAGCAACACGUUUCCUGGCACUUUGCUCGUCUGCUCCCCACCAUGGCCUCAGUGCUGAUGCUUUGCAAGGGUGAAGUUUGUACCCUUUCUGCUGCUGCUGGAGUCAUUUAUGAGUGUAGUAAAUGCCAAGCAUGCCAGUUCCCUGCCCUGGACUAUACCCUACUUAUCACAGGUUGCUGAGCAUUCCAUAGAAUGCCCCAUCAGCCAUAGCUCUGAAUAUGUCCCAAGCCGUUUUCUCUCCCUUCCCAACCCUACAGCUGAGCCCCAUGCACCAGGAAGGAAAGCACGAUACACCCAGGAGCAUCUCUAACUUGGCAGCAGAAGCCGUCCUUGCACGUGCCAUUUCCUCCUUAUAAUUAAAGAGAAACUUAAUCAGCUCAACAUCUCAUCCCUGAAGAACGAGAUGCUCAUUUGCACUUGGCGUGCUGUCAGAAGGCAGCAAGCUGCAGCACCUCCUGCAGUCAGCAGAGGAAGAUGUGGGUCCCAGCAGUGUCCUUGUCCUGCAGGUCCCAUGUGCCCAUCACAAGGCUGCACCACUCCACCAGGCUCUUCACAGCUCAUCUCCCCAGUUAGUGCCUUUUCUGGUUUUAAUUCCCUUCCAGGGUGGUAAAGGGAGAUGAUAGGAAGGGGAUGGCAGUGCUGGAGCACAGAAAAGCAGAACAGAGUCACGGCAGUGGCUCUGUGCACUUGGGCUUUCAUUUUCCCAUUUUCUCACCCAAAACUUUGUGAAUGAGGGGCACGGGAAGAAGCAGACUGCUGCCCAAGGGCAGAAGCAAACAUACAAAUCCCCAUCCCUUUGAGACAUCCCACGGUACAUCCAUCCCCAUCCCUGUGUCCCUGCACUGCCCCUACCUGGCAGCCAGAUGCUGCCCCACUGAGCAUGCCCUGCCUCUGCCAGAGCUGCAUUUUCUACCACUGUGUUGCUUCUACGCAGCAUUUUUCCAUCUGUAAUUACAGCCAAUGAAAGAAGUCUCCUCCCUUCUUGGGAAAACCGAUCGCUCUCAUGGCGGUGCCUGGGUGGGACACGGCUCUGUGCUGAGUGAUACAGUGUUGUUGCCCACAUAGGGUGGGGUGACUUGCUUAUGGAAAACAGAAGAAUUACAUCUAGUGAAACCCAACUUCCUCUUCCAAAGAGGCUGUUACCUCUCUCUGGCUGAGUAAUGGCAGUUGGGAAACCCCAAAGAAGACAACGAGGGCACAGUUACAAAGGGAUGUCAGGAUUACUUCAUUGAAGGGCACAAGUGUACCCAGCGUCAAACAAAUCAGUUGAGUCACUUCUUUACAAAGAUUGCAAAUUAAGGAGGUUGGGCAGACAGCAAAACCCCCCAGAGCUGCAGUAUUUGCCUAUUCUGUCGCAGUCAGAAAAAUUGGCUGUGAGAAGUUUUCUUCCAGGACCCGUGACAUCCCAAAAGGAAGAAGUCAUGCUUAGUCUUAAAAACCCCAAACCUCUCAAUAACAAAAUAUAGGCAAAUGGGGCAGUUUUUUGGUUUGGUUGAGACAGUGUUUCUGCUGCUGUUUAAUUCCCCAACGCACUCAGUUCCAGUGAAAGCUCAGGCAAUGCCUCAGGGGAUGGGAAGCGCUGCAGUGAAAGUAAAUUCAGCAAAGCAUGAGUGCCACGGGGCAUCCUCUGUGUGCAGCUGCCGGUGUCAGACGGGGCCACAAAUUCCCCUCCUGCAAGUGCAGCUGUUGCAUCAGCACAUUUUUAAUCUUUGCGGAAAGAAGCGUUACAGCCGUGAGCAUUAUGAUGCAAUGAUCCUGCACGAGAAAGGCAUUGGAGAGAAGGAGGUGAAAAUGGGGUGUGAUUCUUUUUCUCCCAAAGCAAUGCUGGGGACGGGGGAGUCAACUGAUUCUCCAGGAUGUGGAUGGCCACGAAGUGUCUCACCCCAAGAAUACAUCUUCAGUUGCACCGGGGAGAUUCAGGUUGGAUAUUAGGAAAAAUACGUUCUCUGAAAGAUGCAGUGGCACAGCUGCACAGGGGGAAGUGGGGUCACCGUCCCUGCAGGUGUCCCAGAGCUGUGGAGAUGUGGCACUGAGGGAUGUGAGCAGUGGGCACAGUGGGGUGGGCUGAGGUUGGAUUCGGGGAUCUUGGAGCUCUUUUCCAACCAAAAUGACCCUGUCAUUCUGUGAUCUAAUCUUUGUGUACCUGAUUCCUCCUCGCAUGAGGGCAGAGGAGUUGGCAGUGAGGGAAUCCCCCAGCAAGCACCGGUCUCCACAGCCGUGCACUUUUGGGGUUAGCUCAUAACACGGCUCAGCAUGCAUUUUUGGGGUUAUCCACACCAUUUCCAAGGGCAGAGAAAGUGCAGGAGGUGUCCUCACACCCGAGAACUGACUUGAGUGCAUUCCCCAUUCCUCGUCUCCCCCCUGUAUUCCUGUCAGGAUAAAGACGGGCACAUUGUUAGACCAGUCUCACUCUCCCAUCUAGUGGAGAAACAAGGAAAGGUCGUCCUAUUAAAAUAAGCGAAUAAAAAUGCAGGUUUCUGUUGCUUUUAGCAGGGAGAGGUAUGUGGGGGGUGGGCGCAUGGUACUGUUCUCACUGUGGGUUCUGUUAACCUGUAGGAAUGUCACAGACCUCAAUAGAGAGGAAAAGGCAUUAAAAUGCAAAGAGACCUCUGAGUUGUUCCCUGGGCCUGGUGGGGUGUAGGGCUUCCCUGCUCUGGGUAUAAGGCACAAAGGAAAGCCCUGCACACCUCUGGAUGUGUCCCCACAGAACACUGGCAGCUUGGGAUGGAGGCAUGCACGGCUCCAGCAAAACAGUACUGUCACUGAGCAGGUGCCAAAAAGCCGUGCAGCGGGGCUGCAUCUUCACACAAACAACUUCUGACCUUCAAAUAACCCUCACUGCCAUUCAGGCCCCGUGCACUGAACAGCUUGCAUGGACCGGACGGGAAACCGCAGGCAUUGCGGUUUCCCGUCCUCUCUGUGUGGUCGGGGCUGCAGAGCCUCAGUUCCCAACAGCACGAGAACCUUCUGCUCCCCGAGAUGGCUGUUGGAGUGGGGGCUGCUCAGAGCUGUGAGGCAGUGCUUGCUUUCAGCCGGAGCUGGGAGGGAGGAGCUGCACCCGUCCCCUUAAAAUUUCACACUUCAAUUCAGGUGCAAGAAAUCCCAUUCUUUCUACAAAGAACAGGUGGAAAACCAGCCUGGUCCACAGGCAACAACCAAUGCCAUGGGACUGCUGUUACAAGGACAGGACAGGUGAGGAACUUGGGUCCUGCUGGCCCCAAUAUGGGAUGCUCCCACUGCACUCUGAUCUAGCUAAGACCUGAAAACCUGACCGGAACUGAUGCACACGCACUGGAGAUUUAUGUUCUCAUGUCAGAUCGAAGAUUCGUGGCAUUUCCUGGAAGGUUACAUGAUGUUUCAUUUUCAACAAAUAAGGUCAAAAGCACAAAGAAAUAAAUAAAAAAAAAGCAAUCUCUCUAGAUCAGCUGUUUGCAAACGCCGGCGGUGCAAGCCUGUGUGUUGCUGCUUGUACAGAACUGCUUUCCUGGAGCAGCGUGCUGCUGAACCCACACAGCCUGCAGCAGGAAACAGCUUCAGCUGGAACAGAGCCCUGGGAUGGGUGUGCUGCUCACCCACACGUUCAGAUUGAAUAAGAAGAGGUGCUGGAAGGGCAGAAAUUGGGCAGUCAUUGGCAUGCAGCAGCACAGACCCCCAGACACAUCCCUCCUUCUGCAGCAAUGUCACAGCUAGAGGAUCCAGGUGGGAUGUCCUGGGCUUGCAUUUCAUCCUGCAAAUCCUCCCAGCAGGACAGCCCCUGCUCCUACCCUUGAAAGCAUGUUUGCAGCUACAGCAAAUAAAAUAAGGUUAAUGAAAAGUCACUCUGGAAACACGGAAGCACAGUUAGUGCUGCUGCUGUGAUGCUUCAUUUGAGAUGCAGGGAGGUAAAGUUCUGCCUCCCACCAGGGGUGUCACUGGGGAAUAUUAUUUCUUCCUUCUCUAAAUGACAUGGCAUCGUUUCUUCUUUUCAGGUCACUGCCAACUUGGUGUCACCGUUUGAUUUUUCAGGAAAGCGUAGUCUUUACCUGACAGCGGUGGUUGCCUCCAUCCACCCUCCCACCCCCAAAACAGAGCUACAAAAAUAGAUUCACCUACAGACGAAGAGCAAAUAAAGAUGGCUCCCAGCACGUGAAUAGCUGAUGAGGAGCCACUUAGCAGACUUGGCGUAUUCAUCAGCUUCAGCACAUGAUCGUUGAUUGUGUGUCUGCAGCUCCUUUGUUCUUCUUUGCUCAUUAUAAUCGGGUCAAAUGGGAUGCACACAAACCCCUGGCGGAAAUGAUAAGAGCCAAUGGAGAUGGCCAUAACCAUGACCCAUCCCAACUGGAAAAUUACCAGUUAGGAUUUUUUACAGCCCAUCAAACGGAGCCAUUCCAUCCAGCAGUGAGAGGUAGGUCACUGCUAAUUACGGGGUGAAAUCCAGCUCUGCACAUUGCCCUGUGCCUCUCAUUAGCAGCCCGGGCUGGAAGACCCUUGCAGAAGUAGGGCAGGGUUUCAGGGUGUGCUUCUCCAGUGCAGACCGGUCCUACCUUACAAGUACCCAUCUGAAGCAGUUGAGGACUCAGCUGCAGUCUGGUGUAAGGGCAGAGUGGUGUAAGGGCAGAAUGGUGUAAGGCUGCUCUGUUGUCCCUGUCUGAUCCAGCCCAGGCACUGCAGUUCUUCUGGGCCCUUCACUCCCCACUCCUCCUGGCGCUGACCCAGUAAACCAGAUAGAACAGAGCAUCCUUCUCUCUUCACUUCUGGGUCAGAGGAAAACGCUGUUAUUAGGCUACCUCUACUUUAUGGUCUUUUAAUUAUUUCCACCUCUGUGAUUAGACUAAUUAGCUAACUGGUUUGUAAUGGCUGCAUGGUAGCUCUCAUUACGUUUUCAUUAAUCACAGCAUCACUGAGUCUCGCUAAGAGUCCAGGAUUUUUUUUUUGCGUUAUGAUUUGAAAUUAUUCAAAGCAAAAGGAAUCUGAAGGGGGAAAAGAAGUCAAUAGGAACAGACGCAGUGUUCAUCAGCAUCUUGGCAGAGAGACUCUCUGGUAUAUUUAGAAAUGCUGUGAUUUACAAGAGCCCACCAGCCAUUUACUUAGCGUCUAGAAGACACGGUGAGUUUGAAGUUUCCAAUCACAGCAGUUUAAGGCACCUUCUCACCCUCUUUGAUUUGAGACAGCUGAGUGACACACUCAAAUGGGAUCAGAAAUAAAAGGACUGACAGCACAUUUCCUUCAUCCCAAGAGCUGCACCCAGCAACGCCUCAGCAUCCCUUCAUCACAUGGAGAAGUGUGGGACAAAGCAGGAAAGAGAUCUAAGAGGAGGUUAAGUUUUUGCUGCUGGAAAAACAUUACUCUGACAGCUCCCAAGGCUUUGCUAUAAAUCUUUAUCCACCAAGGCAAUUUGAUGUGCUAAAAGACUUCUUAAAAUAAUCAAAAUUAAGAACAAGGCAGCCCACAUUGGGUAGUUUAAGUACGUGCACAGGGGGACGUUCAUCACUGUGGUUAUGACAGAAGAUAAUAAUAAUAAUAAUGAGAUUUAACACCUACUUAACAGGAGAAACCCAAAAGCCUGUACAAACACCAAUCAAUUAGCUCUGCCAACCAGCUGUGUGCUGGGCAGGAUGAUGGGGGAGAAGAUAAUUGCCCAGAAAGCUGAAGAUUGCCAGCAGAGAAGGCAGAACUGUACUGCUGCUCACUGCCCUGCAGCUGCCGUGGGAGUGCUGUCAGACAUUGCUACUGCUGCCUGCACCAACACCGUGUGAAAUCCUCCAAGGAAACCUGUACAGAAGGGCAGAGCUAUGUCCUGACAUCCCGAAGACUUUGCAAGGUGUCAGAGACAUAAACCAGGGAGAAACCAAAGUAGACUUUAUACAUCAGUCCUGCUUUAGCUUCUGAGAGCUGAAAAUUGGUCAUACUCUUUACGGACGGAGGUGCUAUAGAGCCCUAUUACUGGUCGUUCUUCUUCCUUUUCAACCAUCCUCCACCUGAUCCUGGUCAGGCUGGAUAUCAGGAGAAAUUCCUACUCAGAAGGAGCAGUCAUGCAUUGGUAGAGCUGCCCAGGGAGGUGGUGGGGUCACCAUCCCUGGAGGUGUUCAAGAAAAGGGUAGAUGUGACCCAGAGGGACAUUAGUGGGCAUGGUGGGAUGGAUUGGGGUUGGACGUGAUGGCAUUAGAGGUCUUUUCCAACCUUAAUGAUUCAGUGAAAACAGUCUCCAGCUCCAUAGCAUCCUGCAGCCUGCCCUGGGAACAGUGAUACCUGCAGCUGACACUGAGCCAGAGAUAGCAGCAUCUCAGUGCUUACCCCCAGGCAGAAAGAACUCUGCACUGCACUUGCUUCUCUGUGACUGUCAGCUGCAGCCUGGGCAGAGCCAGCAGCCAGGUUCCAGGGAUGCCCAUGUGCCUCCCAUCUAUCCCAUGCCUGGCUGUGGCAUUUAAAGGCAGUGAGCACACAGCAGCAAACACAGUGCUGCAGUGCUGUAUAAUUUUAGUGGCCGCUAAGUAACACUCGUAACUUUUUUAACACAAGGAGCAAGAAUUUACAGUGCCAUUCAUGGGGGGGCUGUUGUAAUUAAUUGGGGCCCUAAGUGACCCAAGGCAUUUCCCCAACCUUCUGGCACCGUGGGAUGGAUGGGAGCUGCAUGCUGUGCUCACCGCUGGCUCCUGCUUGCAGCAGGGAGGGGAGCAGCAUUCUGCAUUUCCUGAGUAUAAAAGGCUGAGGAGUCCCCGUGACAAGCAAACCAUUAAAAAGAAAAAGGAACAAUAAUGCCAAGCAAAAUAUCGCUUCGGGGAAAAAUUUUGGCUUGCUUUUAGCACAGAUGUUGAUAUUGCAUGCUCAGAAAUGGCUCUGGAAAGUGGCAACGCUUUUGCAGUGUGCUAUGAGAUGGUGCACGGAGGCAACGAGCUGUGCUUCAAGGGGAGGAAUCGGAGCAUUUGAAAAUUAAAAGAAAUAAAAAGGAAAAGCCUUCUGAAAGAGAAGUUGUGAGGAGAGCUUCCGCACACUACAGCCCCCCCAAAUUAGUCUGUGGAGAACUGUCCUACACUUCUCUGCUCCAGCGGCAGUGGGCUCUGACAGGAGGAGGAUGCAAACAACAUAUGCGGGCUCUUUGGCUCCAGGCAAAGCUCUGCCAGAGCUCCCGAGGGUAAGCCCUUACCCAUAGAGAGCAGACACCCAUCCCCUGGAUGCCUGUGAAUGCAGUGAGGCCCCCUCCUGUGCCCUGAGUGCCUCCACAGUAUGUAAAGAGGUGUUUUUCACAUGAUGGGUGUCCUCAUUUCCAGCCCUGGAGUGCUCAGGAGGAGGGGAUCCCGGUGCCUUUCCGGGAUGAGGGAGGUGCAGGUCAUGGUGGGGUACAGUUUUUGGGCAUCCAAUGGCAGUGUGUGGCAAUGCUCGUGCAUCGUGCAGAGGUGAUUGCUUUGCACUUUGCAUAUUCCCUCUGUGCAAUGCGCUGGGAUUUUUCAUUGCAUCCAUAAUUCAUAUCCUGCUGCAGCAGUUCUAUGGAGGCAGCACAGGAUCUCAGCUCCAGCAUUAAGCAGGGAAGGAGAUGCUCUCAUCACCAGACAGCAAACCGGGCAGCUGGGGUGCAAAGAGCAUCUCUGCUCUGCACCAAUUGUCCUGCAGGCAGGGAUGCAAGCAGACAGUGAGAUGAGAGUGCCAGGGGUGACUGCAGGAUGGGUAGCAGCACAGGGCUGCCUGCUUGUCCUGCCCAGCCCUGUUUUACACAUGCAUGGCAUCAUGCAGUGCCAGAUGCCGGUGCACCACUGGUUUUUGUGGUAAAAAUGCUUUCUGGCCUGGAAGGUCACAGCCUUUGCUCACAAAGCCACCCACGAUCCCUCCCAGGCUGUGAGGCUUUCUCCUGCAUCUCCACUGUAACACAUGCACUGAAAAACCCUGUUUGUCAGAAAGCAAAGUGUGUCGGGAGAUUAAAAUGUAAAUGUUGCGCUCGGCUUUUCGGAGGGGGGCUGCUGGUUUAUUUGUGACGCUGCAGGAAAUAGGUUUUUGAUAACUGCAGAACUUCUCCCCAGCCGCUGCUGCAAACAGCCAAAGCCUCAAUAAAUAACUCCUACCGUUGAACACCAACGUGCUCAUGGUCUGGAGAAGUGCUGGGAAUCAUAGAAUCAUAGAACGGCUUGGGUUGGAAGGGACCCCAAGGAUCAUCAAGUUCCAACCCCCUGCCACAGGCAGGGCCACCAACAUCCAGAUGUGUUAUUAGGGGAGCUGUGAUUGAGGUUUCCUGCCCUUCCUUGGGCUGGGAGGGGUGCUGCAGAAGGGCCCCUUAGCAGUGCUGACUAUAACCACCGUAUAUUCAGUUUUUACCAUUUAUUGGCUUGGGAAUCUGGGGAAAGGUCUCUGCAGGUGUGGUAUGUUGUACUGUGUGAGGGUCACUCGUGAGCAUCAGAAUGAGGCGCUGAAAGAGAGCAUGGAAGGGGUUUGCAGGGUUUUGGCAUCCCCAGUGGGCACGCAUUUAGAUGUGUGAACCUUGGGAUAAGGAGCUCUUGGAUCACGGCUCUCACUUUAAAACUACAGCCAGCAUCAAUAUUCAUGGCUUUAAUACCAAAAAGGAUGCAAGGCUAAAUGAAGCAGGCUUGUGUAGUACACGGAGUAACCUGAACACGACUGCUGCGUUCAGGAGCGACCAGUGAGUCAAAAAUCUCUCCCAGCAUUAAUCUGGCAAAUGAUUUCAAACAAUGGAGAUGGAUAUGAGGAAGAACAGACCCCAUGCUAACAGAGCCUGAUCUGUAAACUUGGCUACUGACUUUGUAUCCCUUAUGUAAACUCGGAAGAGUAACGUAUUUAUAGCCUCUUGACGUAAGUAUCCCCUGUGAAAUAUGGGAUGCAAUAAAUAUUCUGCCAUCUCAGGAAGCCUUUAGGACCAAACAGUACCGAGAUGCUGCAAAGACAAACCCUAUGCAGCUAACGAGUGUUGGGGAGCUGCCAGCCAGCUGAAAACAUCGCAAGUGAAAGCAUGGAAACAGCCUUGCUGGUAACGCGGGGAGAGUUUUAUUGACACAGUCACAAUGCAAGGUCACUGCAUAAUGCCUUCCAGCUCUUCGUGGCACCUUAACAAAUCCCUUCCAACCAUCAGGUUGGGGUUUGGUCAGCUUUAUCCCAGCGUUUUGUUGUUGGUCAAUAAUUUCCUUCUGUUCUUUUUAUGGUUUUUUUUUUUUUCCCUUUAUGAUGUAAAGAUGAGCUCUGGGCCCCUCUCCCUGUCCCAUGCUGCCAGCACUGCUUUUUACAGAAUUACAAAUUACGCAGCACUUCCACAUUAAAACAAAAUGAGUUCAUCACUGUUUUUAAAUAAGGAUGUCAUUUGUAAAUGCUUUAUUCAUAAUUAAUGGAAUUAUUGCUGGGUGCAGCCACAUUCCUCAUCCAUGUACUAUAAGAUCUGUUGUAAAGUGCAUUAGUAAAAAGCUUUAUAGAUGGGGAUAUGACAAGCUGACUGCACAGUAUGUUAUGGGAUGCGGUGUAGCAUUGUUGUAACAAUCUCUAUGCUAGAUUUUAAGCUAUCAGUCAGCUGGGGGCUGAUGGAUAGUGUAAAUGUUAAUAAUUAAUAAUAGGAUAAUGUUGAUAACUAAUUAAUAGUAAAUGAUGAGUAUGGAUUUUUUUAGUUAGCAUUAUGCUAAUAUGCAUUAUUCACUGAAUCAUAAAAUCAUGUUAGAGAUGAGAAAGUCUCGCUGGCUGUCUCCAGCUCUGUCACUCAUGAGUGAAUGCUGCUCUUUCAAAGCAUUUUCCAAAUGGCAAUUUUCCUCCAGCUUUCUGGCUCAAAUCACUUGGCUAAGAAGCAUUUAGAAAAAGAAACACAACGUCAGAGCUCUGCAUAACUGUGCACCAGAGUAAUGUGUAGCCACGGCCUUUGGGAUGUGCGUAGGACAAACCUACCUGCCCUAAGAGUGACCCGCUGCCUCUACAAGGAAAUCAUUCACAAUGAAGGAAUCAGCUCUGCAGAUUUCUUUCAAUCCUAUGUGGCAUCCUCCUGCAAUUUAAAGCCAUUAGGCACGCUUACCUUACAGUGAGGGUAAGAGAAGGUCCUUGGGCUGGGGAGCAACACAGGGGUUGCGUGAAGGUGGUGAUGCAGCAGAAAGUUUAGCAGAGAGCUUUAAGGGUGGCUCAACACCAUUUUCCAUCAUUUUUUUUUCAGCUGGCGUUAUCUCUUUUUCUAUGUCCUAGGCAGGAUCAAAGCCGGCUUGACAUCAUGCUGGCUGCUCAGGGGAUGGGAAAUGCCGAAGGCAGCAUCAACUCUGGGAUUUAGAGCUUUAUGCAGUCCAAUGGCCCUGGGAGGUUCCCAGCAGGGAUAUCCCCAUCUCCAGCCUCGUUGUGGCCCAUUCAUCUCAAGCUCAGGUGGGUUUCCAGAGCACUGAAUCCAUCACCUGGCUCAUGUCUGUCCUCACUGGACCAAAUGGGUAGUUCUCCAUCUCUGGUUCCAAAGACUGAGAUUCUGGAUAGCUCCUUCCUGGUGCUCAGCUGAUUUGUAGAUAACCACAGCCAAAGGCAUAAAGUAUAUUGAGCACUCUGGGGUUCUCAUGUCCUUGAUGAGGAGGGAUGCUCUUGUACCUUCUUACAAAACUGGUUCCUUAAACCAUGUCCAUACCCGCCCAGGUUCCCACCCUCUGACAGUGCAUGAGCAUGUCCUAAGGACUAGUGCAAGAGCAAACCUUGGCAAGCUAACCAAUGAUAGGUGAUGCUGAUGUUCUCUUGUUGAAGGAACUAAUACAGGGAGUUUUCUUUUGAAAAAUGGGAGUCCUAUGAGUUGAUCUAGCUUGCCUUUCCUAUCCCUCUUCCCUUCCCUGCCUCUCAGAUUGGGUGUUUGGCUUUUCAGCGCUUUCACUCAAGCCAAAUCUGCAAGCACAUUUUUGGGUGGAUGUCACCAGGAUCCACUUCCUCCUGGCCCACAGACAGUCUGUCUCUUAUCUCACUUACAUUAGUAUCAAUUAUUUACAGCAGUAAUGUUAAAUCAUGAAAACGAGGUUGCAGCAAAGCUGUGCCUUGGCUAAUGCCCCAUGCUGCCUGCAGCUUUUGGAGCCCUUGCGUUGUCUGCAUUUAACCUUCCAGAGAUGUGAUCCUAGAUAUAUUCCAUAUCUCAUGGCUGCAGGUUAGAGCAGGGGCAAGGCACUCACAUCCUCUAUGGCAUUUCUCUCCUUCCUUCUACCAGUGCCAUAGCACUUCUCAUAGCCUAUCAUUUGGGGGAAAGAAGCUCCCUCUGUGUUCACUCUGAUGCCAUGAGCUCUGAGCAGCGUGCUCAUGUUGGCACACAGUCCCUCACCAACUCCUUCAACAACUGCCUGCAUAAGGGAUUUUUUUUUUUGAUUCAUAGUAUUUAACCAUGAAUAUUUAAAAUCUCUGUUAAAUAGGGUUGUUAUACAGCUUAGAACAACAUAAAUACAAGUGUCUGGGCUUUACUUUGGAUCCAGGACAGCAGAAGUGCUUUACCUCUGAUGGAAAGUGCACCACUGAGUGAGGUGACGCUCAGUCUCCUGACCUUGGAACAGUGCCUACUUUUAGACUUCCAGUAACUCAGUAUUUUUCAGCUAAAUCCCUGCUUGCACCAGAGGAGCAAUCCUUUUCUAGCUGUGCUUCAACUGCUCACCUGGCACAUUCCCGCUCUGCUAGCUGCAGUUCUGGGAAGUGAAAAGAAACCUGAGGAGGUAAAAAGAAUGAAAAAAAAAAUGAAAUUUGGAUGUAGAUACUGUGCAGGAAGUGAGGUGACCCCUAAAUCAUAGAAUUAUGGAGUCAUAGCACCAUUAACAUUGGAAGAGACCUCUGAGAUCCCCAAGUCCAACCCCACCCCAUCCCACAGUGCCCACUGCCCACGUCCCUCAGUGCCACAUCUCCACACUUCCAGAACACCUCCAGGGACAGUGACUCCACCACCUCCCUGGGCAGCUGUGUCUCUGCAUCACUGUUCUUUCUGGAAAGAAAUUUUUCCUAAUAUCCAAUCUUAUCCUUCCCUGGUACAACUUAGACAGCUGCCUGCAUGGUCCUGUUGAGCUGAGGCAGAGCUUGCCUUGGCCAGGCCUUUCCCAUUGCUCAGGGGAUGCUGAGGCAUUGAACAAGCUCCGAGCUCAGCAGGUUCUCUGCUGUUGCUCACCCAUGGGAUUUAGGGGAGAUGCAGGUGUCCCCUACAAGGGAGGAUGGAGAACAGGAAGACUGUUUUAAUUUUGAGCUCCUGUGAGUCACUUCAUUAGCCCUGCCUCUGCUUGACCCUCCUGCUGUUAUAUCAGCCUGACUGUUUAUUUUCCUCAUAAAACUAAAACAAGAUCGAUUGCUUUGUCCCGAGGCCCUUUAUGCGUCUUGGUGCCCACUGCAGCCCUGCCGUUAGCAGCAGGCCUAAUGCAAAUUGAAUCUUUGGGAAACGGGCAGUUUGGAGCUGCCCAUCUUCCUCCUCUUUCCUGCUUAAGUUUCAUCUAUUGCAUUUAAAAUAGAAACUUUAUCUAUUUAUUCUAAACAUAAAUAUGCAUUUUUCUUGCUGUCUAUAUGUGCACGGCGUGUCUCUGUUGUAGACACAUAUAUGCGAUCAAUAACCAUCUCUUGCUGGGGAUUUAAAUAUUAGUUUUCCAAAUCCAGUCUAGAGCAUCAGAUUUAUUUUUAUGAAAAUAUACCCUUUCUUGCUUAAGGAGGGAUAUUAAUUAUAGAUGCAAACCCAUAAAUCUUCCGGAUUUAGGUGAGAUAUUUGCUGGAUUAUAAAUAUGAAUUGGAGAUGAGGGUCUUGCUCUUCCUAUUAUUACUAUUAUUAUUACUUACUGGUUAUUAUUUCGGUGUGAUCAGUAUCUUCGGGUGGGUCAAAUAUUGCUGGGGAAUGGGGAGCUGAGCCUUCAGAGGGUGCGCAUGCUGAAUUCAUUAAAAUGUUUUCUAUUCCACCCUUGCUCUCCACUGCGCUUCGCAGCCCGGUGAGUCAUUAAACACCCUGUUCAGAUCACUUCCCUUUCUCUCCAUCCUUCUUUUGGUACCUGUUUUCAUUGUGCUGCUUUUGCCAGAUCAUAUCAAGCUCCCUAGUGUUUAUUAAUAAUGUCCCACAUGCUAUUGACAAUGUGCUGUUGUUUCCGAGGGUCUGCUUCAAUACCAGUCUUGGGCAGCAGUGAAACCAGCGGCCAUCAGAGAGCCCAGACUCACCCAGGGCUUUGGCACAGGUAACAAUAUUCUGCUCCAUUUAUUAUGACAAAUGUGGGAACAAAAGUAGUGUGCCACAAGGACUGAUCCCUUCCAACUCAAAACGUUCCAUGACUCUAUGAUAAUUGCACGUUUCUUGCUAAUUCAGUGCAAACUGAGAUAGGAGUAAGUCACAGUGAUUCUCCCAGCCUUCACCAAGUGCUCCAAAGCCAAGAGGCAUUUCUAAAUCCCAGUUAACAGGAGUUAAAUGGAAGACUUCACCAAGAACAUCAGGGCUUCCUGGUUCCCUGCUGAUCCUUCAACCAUGGGAUGCAAAAGGUGAGAUGCUCGCGGGCAUUAGUAGCAGCAAGAGGCAUGGAGCAAGGCUGGUGUGCAUCAAGAGAGGUUCCUGCAGGCAGCUCUGGCAGGUGCAGCAAUGUAGGGGGCUGCUGACCAAAGGAAAGCACAUGGUGGGAUCUCAAGUUGAUUUAAUGUAACACCCUACCCUGAAAUUAAUAGGACCUUGCAUGCCAGGACUGAAAAGAUAGGGCACUGUGUAAGGUCUGCUUUUUUAAAUUAGAGUCCCCUGCUUAAAUAAAUUAAGUGAGCUGUCAGUAUAUUAAAUGAUUUAAUGCCUUCUCCAGUUUUGCAGUGGAAUCCUAAUGAAAAUACUCUUCAGUAUAAAACGCUGGAUAAAUUAAAUGGUGAAGUGUUUUAAUAAAUGGUCUGUUGUUAUGGUGAACCACAUUAAAGUAAUGUUUAUCUCUAUGGUAAUGAUGUUGCCCUAGCUUUAAAACCAUUUCUGCUGGUUCAGGCUUCUUCAGAUAAAAUAUAAACGCUGAGUUGUUGUCCAGUUUCAAAAGCAUCUGCACAGUUCCUGGACCCAAACCUGAAAUCGAUGGCAGUCGUGCUGGCUGGCCAACACAGGGCUGGAUUCAAUGGAUUCAAGAGCAGAGGACUCUUGCACAUUUGCUCUGUGAUGUCAGCAGGGGGAUGAGGCAGAGCCUCCAAGCUGCAGGGGUGAGGCCCUACACGUACAUUGGGACGAGUUUGGGUAUUAAUGAACUACAGUGGAACAGUGAGUAGGCUGUGGAGGGGCUUAAAAUCUUUGCUGAUCUCAUUGCAGGUUAAGAUAACAAAUUAUAUCUCUUUUAUAUCCUUUAUAUAAGGUAAAGGCCUGCUUUUAAAGGUAAAGACAUUACGAGAAGAUAAAGUCCCUUUUAUAUAAAUUGGUUAUAAAACAAUUUUUAUUUUCUUGCUUUUGGAUAUCAGUUCUUAUUUGACCUCUUUCACUCAUCACAGUAUUUCUUUGGAAGGAAAAUUCUCCCCUCAUGCUAUUUUCAGAGCCUGAAAACCCAGAAAUAACAUCUUAGUGCCCAAAUUAAUUUUACAUUAAUAAUAAUAGUAUUAAUAAAAUAUACCUGUUUGUCCCCAGCUGCACUGAAAGAUGUCACUGGGGCUUACAAGACAGCCCCCAGGAGAAGCCAAAGGGUAGUUCUGGAGAUGCCCAAGAGUCGUCUGCACCAAAGGCUUUUGUGAGGAACUUCCAUGAAAGGAGAAAUUCCAGCAGCUUCUGAACCACAGAGCCAUUCCUCUGGCAGAGCUGAGGUGCCCAUGAGAGUCACCACUGAGGCUGACCACGAUCCAAAAGGAGGGGGUCGUCCCACUCAGUGCUCAGGGAUGAUGUCUUAAAUACUCAUAAUUAAGGCCAUCAAGAAAUCAGGGGAGGAGAAUCCCGUUCAUGCCGUGUGGGUCUCUGAGUGUUCAUUUAAAGAGUGAUCUUUGGUGGAUCUGAGAUAUACAUAAAAACAAAACAAAAACAAAUCCAUAUGAAUUUGAAAUGGUGAAAGAUGGUGAAACUGCUUCUUAGGAAGUGGUUCUGGUGUUGGUUCUGUCCGUUUAAGAAGUUCACCUGUCCCAGCAUGAAUUUUGCAGUGUCAGCUUGCAGUUACCGGCUCUUUUUAUUGCUCUGUCUGCUCGAUUGAAGAGCUUUCCAUUUCUGUCUGUCUGAGCACAUCUGGAUUGUCAUUAAGCCAUCCCUUAACCUCCUCUUUGUUAAGCUAAGCGCACUGGGGUCCUUGAAUCUGUCACUAUAAGGCAUGUCUUGCAAUGCUUCCGUCAUUCUUGUGUGCCUCCUCGGAGCCCUCUCCCAUUCAUCAACAUCCUUCUUGAGCUGCAGACACCAGAAAUAGCUGCAGGGUCCCAGCAGAUGCUACACCAGAGGUAUUCCACUCUGCUAUUUGUUUGAGCUUCCAGCGCUGUGCUAUAGGAUCCCUCCUCCCCCUGAAUGCCAUGAAAUUCCAGUUCCCAAGUGUGGCUUUGUAUGUGCAUGUGUUGAACUGGGUGGUUUUUUCUUCAAUCUGACUCAGGAGAAGGCUGAUCCUCAGCCCCACCAUGAUCCAAAUCGAACUCAUCAGCGAACUUUGAUUGUAAUUAGUUUUGAUUUUCUACCAUUUUGCUAAAAGUGAUGAACUGAAACACAGCCACUUGUGAUGAGUGUCUGCACGCAGCCGUACAUUUAAACAUAUCAGUGGGGUUUUCAUCCGUUUAGUGCGUGCCGUGUUGAUUUUACAUUGUUUUAGCUUCCUAAUAAAUGAGACAACAUUAAGUCAAAUGCCUUGCAGAAGUCAAACGUAACAGUGUUGAUGAAAUGUACUAAAUCAAUCAAAUCUAUAAUCACAUUCUUGAAAAAUUAUAUCAAUUUCAUUUAAUAAGAUCUAUUUUCCAUUAACUCAUGUUGAUUGUAAUUAAUUAUUCUCCUUAAAUUGUUAUUAAUCAAGUCCCCUAUCAGCUCUUCCAUUAUUUCUCACAAAAUCAACAUCAGAUAAUCAGAUUUAUAAUUACGAGCGACAUUCCUACGCUGGCACAAAGUCAGCAGCACUCGGGUGUGCUGCGUUCUUGGAGUCCGGGGCACGAGUUGGAGCUGGAGGUAUUUCACACAGUCCUAUGACAUUGCUAAUUUACUUAGCUUUUCCCCCGAAAUUAGAGGAAUUAAAUAUUUAGUGUCUGCCUUCUAUGUAUUUUCUAUUUAUCAUCUGCUAUUCUGUCUAGACAACCACACUCAGCCACUGAUAUCUAAAAACCACAUCCCUACUGCUCUUGGCUCUGCUAGCAGAGGUCUCACCUGCUGGCCUUCUGCUUGCUGUUGGUUAACACAUUUUCCCUUUGUGUGAAGGUAGACCUCCCCUUCCUCCCCCCCGAGUCUCUGCUUUAACCAGAAUAACCUUCUCUCUCUGAGCGCUGAGAUUUCACUAGAUGCCCUAAAAGCCAGAGUGCUUUUAAACAACGAGUUGCCAAAUAUCACACACAUUUUCUCUUCAAAAUCCUCCAAGUGACCUGGCUUACAGUGUUGAAAAGAAAAAGUGUCUGCUAUCUGCUCAGGCUUCGUUCCAUCUGAGCCCUGCACAUAAGGUGGAAAUGGCAUCCCCUCCGUGUUGGCUGUAAGUGGUUUUUAGAGCUGCGAUCAGCUCUUCAGCUGUCAAGACCAUCCUGCAGAGAAUCCUCCUGAUUUUGGUUAACAACGGCAUUUAUAAAUUCCCAAAAUUGGCAACACAAGCCCUCCAGCUCACAGCAUUCAAGUUCAGGUUUUCCAAGACACUCUAUAGGAAUUUUCCUUAAAUGUUUCUGGUUUCUGGUGAGAUUUGAGCAGUGUCAUCCAUUGGCUUUUACUUGUACUUGAGGUCACUUUCUCUUGAGCUCCCAGUGACUUGGAUGGCGGCAAUGUCACUUCUGGUAUUGAUUGUCCCUCCUACACCUUCUUUGCCCACUCAGUUUCUUUUUUUUGCAAAUAGGUUCCAGCUAUUGAUUUUAAUAUUCCAGGCACAUGGAUUUUCUCCCCAAGUUUAAGUCAUGCUCUCCAGAUAGAAUUUGUACUCAUAAAUUAGUCGUUCCCACUCUUUUUUAUGGCUCAGCCUUCCUGCGCUACCGUAGAGGCAAUUAAAGUUCUUCUCCUCGCAUCCUUUCGUGUGUUCAUUAGCUCUCUCCUCAUCAUUUUCUUCCUUGAGCCAGAGACAGGGACGGGUGCGGAAUGAAUUCUGUUUCCUCAUUGCUUUCCAGUGCCUGUAUCUCCAACCCAGUCCAAGCAUCCCUCCCAGCAGAAAAGCUAGAGCCCAAAGAGCCAUUGGGAGCACCACAGCAGAAGGGAAAACCUUUGCUGAUCUCAGCACUGACAGGUUUUGGUGGCAAUGAGCUGAUGGUUGGACUAGAUGAUCUCAGUGGCCACUUCCAAAUUCUACAAUUCUAUGAUUUUGGGGUCAUCAUGGAUGUAGAAUGAUUCAAACUCCAUUGUGCAACAGUAUCUGAUCUCCCAAAUUCUCCUGGCAGCCAAUUCCCCAGCUCAGCCCUACUGCAACUGCUCCCCAGACACACUGAACCACAAGGAAAAGCCAUUUGGAUUGUGCUCUCUUGCUUUCAUGUCCAUGGGGGAUUUCCUGGGAUUUUGCAAGCCCCAGGGAUUGAGGGCAAAGCCAACAGAGAAGCAGACCUGUGCUUAGGGCACCUGCACAAGCUAGCCUGCAGGCUUACAGCUUCACUGUGGUUUGAGGUUUGAAGGUUUCCUAUCAGCUGCUCAUCUCCUGCCUUUAUGUAACAACAAUAACAAAACACACAAAAAUAUCCCUCAGAAAAUCCAACCGUCUUUGCUCUUGCAGGUCCUGAACUGUUUGCCUCUGAGGGCAGAACACAGACUUUGGAUGGUUUUGAGAAGUCUCCUGUCUGGGUGGUUUUAUUUAUAUCUGAUGCAUUUUAAUGCAGAAUGGGCAGAAAAGAGAUGCUUCAGAGCAAAGUCAAAGCAGAGCAGUUCUGCAGGUCCGGCCCUCACUGGGUUCAGUGGUGGGAUGUGCUCAUCACCCCCUCUUCAAAAUAACCCCCCACGUCUCUUUUCAUCCAACAAAACAUUUAGGUGCAUAUCUGCGAGUGAAGGAGUACAAGAGAAGGAAGCAUAAGGCUGUAAAAUAAACACUCUACAAAAUGCCUCCAGGUUGCUCUAAAUUAUGCAUCCUUCCUGUUAGGAGAUGUUCAAGGUUGUCUUUUCCUGUGAACAGCGCUCCUCCUGGGUCCUCACCUUCAUUUGCUGGGAUGCCUCUGCUCUGGGCUUGCAGUUACGUCUCCUUCCCUUUCGCUGCCUUUACAACCAUUUCUUUGCCGCCUUUUAUAAUUCAGAACACGACAAAUGAAUUCCCACCUCAGCUCAGCACUCAGAUGAUGGGAAAGGGAUAAACGGUCCCUGGUAGCAGCUCAGUGCACGGUGAGCAUCACUGCAGCCCCGUGCGGUGUUUUUUCCCUGCGCACAUGCAGGACAGACGGGCGCAGGAGUGGAGCGAUGCUCACAGCCCCAGUCCCUGGUGCAGAGCUGGGAGCAUCAGUGGGGCAAACCGUGGCCAAAAACACACGGACUCUUCUGGGAAACGGCCCAACCCUCUCAUUUCUGUAAUGUGAUUGGCACAUGGCUUGGUUUUGCAUUCUGUUUCUAAAGGAUAGCUGCUAUUCUUUUUAUUAAAACCUCUAAAUUUCAUUAGUUUGCACUUACCAAAAUAAACCUGGCAUCACUAGUGAGCUCUCCUGCGGCCGUGCCAUCGAUCUGAUGCAGCCCCGCGUCACACCUGGCACGGUGACAGCCGCGUCCCUCCAUGCUGAACACAGGCACCCGCUCUGCCUGGAGGCUGAGAGGCAUUUUCAUGGAGUUCUGUGAUGAGGAACUUUGCUUCCAAGUUUCAAGGGGGAAAAAAAGAAAAAAAGAAAAAAAAAGAGAGAGAGAGAGAGAGAGAGAGAGGUUGAUUGUAAAUUUAAUUCCUGUAUCUUAGUCAUUUCUGGGCCAUGGGUCAUUAGGCACACAUUAGUGCUGCUGGGCAUUUUUCACAGGGGCUGCACCAGCAGAAAGGAGCUGGGUUUUGCAAAGCCAAGGGUGUGAGAGAGAUCCGUGUGCAUGAGAAAGCUCAGUCCUGUGCUCAGCCCCGCAGUGCUGGGAAGUUCCCCCAAAUACUCCCGGUGUCCGUCUGUCCGCAGCCAUGACAAACAGCCCGGGGAAGCAGGCUCCUUUAAUGGGCUCCAGCAUUUUAUUUAUAGCCCCUUCGAAUAAGUGCAGCUGAUACUUAAGAUCGGCGGAUUUAAUGACAGCGAGCUGGCGAAAGGCCAGGGCUGCAAAUAGCGCCGCUAAAAGUCUUCUCCGCUAUAAAAUUUGUUUAAUGCAAGAAAUCAUCCCGUGCAGGUUUUUUGGCUGGCAUUUUUAUAAUUAGCGGGUGAAAUCGCCAUUUCGCCCCUACGAUCCGCCAGCACUUUAUGGGAUGGGGCUGCCUUGGAGAUGGAUUGUUGUGCUGGAAGAGGCGCUGAAGCUUUGCCACUCCGUAUCAUCCCACUCUUCCUCGGGGACACCCAUGUAUGCCCACUCCCAGCACCUUUCCCUUCCCUCCAGGUGUCAUCUCUCCGAGGUUUGACCAAGAGCCCAUCACACUAAGUGGUAAGGCAGCACGGCUGGGAGCUGGGAACUUUGGGAUCUGUAGACAUGCACUGAAGCCACCACACUUGGUUGGUGUUUGAUAACUUCGCCGCUUUUCACUAAGGAGCCCUCAGAGAUUUCGGCCCAGCUCUCUCCUGUACAAAGAUGAACCAUGGGUGAGCCCUGGCCAGCUCUGUGAUUUAGAUUUCCCAUCGCUUGUCUGCGAGCUGGGCUGAUAUUUAUGGACAUGCUCUGGAUCGGAGGUAAAAUGCUGCAUCUUUCAUGGAAGCUGUGAGAGGUAAUUAGUAUCUGUCCUGUGGGAUGGGGCUUAAUGUUGAGACUCUUCAGGAGGGCUCUCGGUGUUCAAAGACUUAGCACCUUGCUGAACUGGGAUCUGAAUUCACAGGAUGCAUUAAAGCAUAAUUUAAGGAUGAAAAAAGGCGGAGGAAAGAUAAUAAUUAGGUGGAUUGUGCCCUUGUGAGACACCGCAUCCCUAUUUCCAAGUAAAAACUGCGUGUAAGAGAGGCACUGUGCUGGCUGCAGGUGUCUCCAGACCUUGAAAGGUCUUGGAACAAAACUCCUGGAGGGCUGACCCCCAUGGGACUGAGACUUGCAGCUUGAGAUCCCUCAUUUCAGGUCAUGGCUCCUUCUGCUUCUCUUAGCGAAUGUCAUAAAUACAGAGGCUUUGCCCCAAAAUUAUAUGCACAGAAAUGGAGGACUAUUUGAGGGCAUGAAAUAACCUGAGUUUUUCUGGCCCAGACGACUAAUUGCACAUUAUUCACCCAGUUCUGGUAGGGUGUCCGUUUUGCUGGACUAAACCCCAUCAUAUAAUAACCUCUUAGCCUACUGGGCUCAUCUCCAGAGCUCAAAGCUCUUCCGUUUCCUUGCCUCUCUUCUACCACUUAUUUAAUUUAUUUCCCAAAAAAUACUGAAAUAAAAGGAUUUUUAAACCAGAAUAGGACAGGACUCUUUCUUUGCAGUGCACAGUUUGCUGGGUAUGGCUGGAGAACCUGAACUAUUGUCAAGAAUGCCACUCAAAUUACAAUAUAAUUGUCUGGGGAAAAAAAAAAGUUCUGGCAGCUAAUUCUGAUUGCAGUGCACAUUUCUGUGCCUGUGACAAAUGAUUUCUAAAGUUAGCCUCAAGGACACCGAGCUUCCAAGAGGUCACCCAUCCACACUGUUUAUUUUACUUGCCAUCCUAAAAUAAGUUUUAAAAAGUGAAAUUAACAGCGAAGGGAAAGAAGGAAGAAAACUGUUGAUGGUGGGGAGAAGAUUGAAGUGUUUUGUUUUAAAAGGAGCGAUGCUCGGGACCAUAAAAUAUGAAAUACAGGGGGGGAAGCAGAUUUGGGGCUAACCUACAAUAUCGCAUUAGGCUUUAAAGCCGUUCCAACAGACUAAGCAUUUGAGAAAGAAUUGGAGCUGCUUGUGAUAAGUUGCUCCUCUUAUCGGCAAACUGUCAUCUGUCUUGGGAGAGAACAUUUUGUCCACCCUACCAAAACAAGUCAGAAAAAUUGGAUAAAAACAAAAAUAUAAAUCAGAAUGGGAACUGGGAGCCGAACUGAAAUGAUGGCAAUUUCCUGGCAAGGCUCGCUGGACGGCUAAAUGUCAGACGUGACAGCAGGAAUUAUCCCUGCGAUGCGGGGUCAGGAGCGAUGUGUGCGGGUGGUGGGCAGAGCACGGCCACUGCGGGACACGGCCUCGGGUUGGGAGGGCUGUGCAUGGGGUGGCACGGGGGUCUCAGGGGAAGCAAAACAUGCAGGGGACAUGGGCACAGUGUGGUGGCAGCCCCUUGGAAUCUGAGCUGAGAGGCGAGGUGGGCUAUCCAUAACUGCCCGAGCAUUGAUUGGCGGUGCUGGCACUGCCCAGAGCUUGGGGUGUGCAUCAGAAUGAGAAGGGAAGCAGCAGGGCCCUGGGACAUCACCAUGGGGAUGGUGGGAUCCAAACCUGCCCUGCCCCACAGAUGUGCCUGAGUGCUUUUCUCCUUCACUGAAUGCCAUUGUCCCCCAGCAGCAGCCAGGCUGAUAUCACCGGAGGCAAGACCUGAAUCAGACGCGGAGAAAUCAGCUAUUUAAAUGCACCGGAGUUGCUGCGCUCCCAUUAAACCCCAAGAAACCCAAUUGCAGUUUGGAGAUAGAGGUACAGCGAGAGGAGGUGUGGGACACACUUCUGCACAGUCACCUAAUGGGAAAAGACAGAGCCUGGGCAGAAGUGAGUGAUAAAGGAAUGGCGAUGUCCAAGGCUUGCACAGCUCAGUGCUGCAGCAGCACCUAUGAGAGCAAGCAAAGGAAGAGAUGCUGUCUCUGGCAAGGGAGCAGCUGAAGAACUGCUGUCCUGUACUUUAGAUUUGAAAAGUAUAUAUAGUUUUAAUUAUUAAUGACACAUCAGUUUGAUACACGUGACAAUGAGGCAGCAGAGAUGCUCCAUAGUUUUGCAUGGGGUUUGUGGCUGCUCAUGCAAACCCACAUGAACGAGCAAUAUCCGAGCCUUUGCUUCAGCUCAGCUCAGAGCAAAGUGUCCCAGCACACAGGACUGCCUUGCCAGGUGCUGACAGCCCUCCCGCAUGCACACAACCAGUGCCUUGCUCAGAAAGACUGGAGGAGGGGGAGUGGAAUGAGGGUCAGCAAUUUGCUCCCUGUUGGAAAUAUCCCAACAGCAAGGAUAUCAAAGCUGCCCUUUAAGCAGAAGCUGAUGAAAAGCUGCUACAAAUUAAUCUCUUAACAUUUUAAUUUAAUGCACGUUUUGUUCCAAGAACAGGGGUGAUCCAGGAAAGGGUUAAUCCGAGCUGUGCACCUAGCACAUCCACACCAGAUUUGCAGCAGUGUGGGUAUAUACAUGCAUUUCUAUCACAUACACAGGUAUUUCUUUAUCAGAGGCAUGUGGGCUGGACAGCAGAUGGGCUCUCCUCUCACCACGGUGGGGUGUGGGAUGCCACACAAAUUCCAUCAGGGCGACCUGCAGCCCAUCAGCAUUGCAGCAUCACAGGGAGCCCCAUGGGAGCAGGGACACUUCCCAGCAUCACUCAGAGCCACUUCAUUGGCUUCUUUAUUUUUAUUCUUUUUCAUGUUGUGAUGCCCUAACGUCAUUGUUGGUGGGAAAGAGCUGAACAACAGACAGGUUCUGACCAGUCCCUCUCUGCCAUCAGUCUCACAGCAUAACCGAACUGCUUUAGUUGCACUUAAUUGUGCUGUUUGUUUGUUUCCAUGUUGUCAUCAGACAAUAAAUCCAAAGCAAUCACUGUCCAAAUUUUUACAGUUUUCCCAAAGGGAAUGUCAAUUACCUUUCCCUCCCAGCACCGCUGACCUCUGCCACAUACAAAUCCCACUUUUAUUCGGAGAAAUGCAGCCACUUGCUCCAAUUAUUCAGCCUGCACUCUGAGGUGAGCAUAAAAAAAGAGUGUUCAGUAGGUACAUCCAGAAAGGGCUGGCUUAAAUCAGUAUGGCUGUGACCCAAGGCAUGAAAUACAGCCCCUCACACACAGCCUAUGUGUACGGAAGGUUAGCUGGAGGAGUGGGACGUUGCUUCAAAACAACCCUGGAGGCCUCAGUUUGGGUGAAAUCUCCAUCUGAGGGAUUACUUCUGUUGCUGAGGAUUUGCCUGUAGAAAACCUUGCCAUGACCCUUGGGUCAGGGGCAGCCUCGGAGCCCAUCAAGGGAUGCAGGAGGGAUGGUGAAGUGGCACCCUCAGUUUCCAAAGGGGAAAUGCAGUUUGGGACAGGAGGAGGGUGGAGGAGAGAAGGCUUCCUCCUCUUGCUCUUCGUUUCCUGCAGGGCCCAGGGGACCUCCUGGUGGGGCAUGACACAGGGAAUUGCCCAGGGAAGGAAUAGCUUCAGGUGAUGUUCCUCUCAGCAGCUGCCCUCCUCGUGCUUCACAUCGCUCCAUCCCUGCCUGGCCUUCUCUGUGCGCUGCCAAGCUCUCCGCAUUUAGAUGCCAGCCCACCUCUAUUCUCCACCCAUCUCCUUGGAUCAGCCACCUCAACCACAGAGCCCUGUCAGGGUGCCAGCAGGUGCAGGUUGGUGGAUGGAUUGGUGAUGGGCUUGAGGGUGGAUACGAGGGAUGCCUUUCAGGAGCAUAUCCACACAUCUUGUGUCUGGAGGGCAGCCCCAGUGUGCUGAGGACCCUUCCUCAGCUCUGAGUGCUGUGCUAUUUGAGAAUCUGAAAUCUCACUGUGCUCUUCUCUACCAUCCUCUCUUUGUGUCUCCUCUCAGGACCUCCCCAUGGCAGUGGGCAGCAUCACCACCCCAUCCCUGGACAGCCACGAGCCACACAGGAUUUCUGCCUGAAUUAACCUUCAUUAUUCAAAUCCCACCCAGAACACAGGUAGUGGUACCGACUCAGUAAGAUGAGAAUGCUUUUGUAGAAACGUCCCUGCCAAGAGCAAGUUACCCUUGGACAGGGAGAUAGGGUUUUGUGAUUGCAGUUUUUUGCAUGGAUGAUGUCCUUGCCUGUCUCAGAGAGGCUCACUGUAAAGGCUCAGAGGUUGGGUGCCAUUGCUCUGCAGUACAUGGGCAUGUCCAACCCACAGCCCCACGAGCUGCAGAUAGAUGAGGAGGGUAAUGUAAUUCCAUCUUUGGAAAUGUCAGACUUUAUGGAUGAAUAAAAUACAUUCCAUUUUCUUCUGUUUAUCAAUAUCGGGUGAGAACAGACUAGAAAUUGCUUAUAAAUGGAUAGCAUCAGGAGAGAGGCCAUCUAUUUGUUAUCUAUAGCAGAAGCUGAGCACUGAUCCUACUGUGGCAGCCACAGGUCAUAGAAUCAAAGAAUCACAGAAUAUCCUGAGUCAGAAGGGACCCAUGAGGAUCACUGAGUCCAGCCCCAUCACCUCUGCAUAGAAUACAAUAAAUGACUAAAAUAGAAAAGCGAGGCAUGGAUAGAAGAAAGAGCAACGUCGGGUUCUCCUCCGUUCAGCCAAUAAUUCUGACUACACAGUGUUUAAUGUUUGGUGAUGCCAUGUACUGGUUUUUCCAUAAGAUGGUCUCAAAGCCGCUGUGUGCUCUGAGUUUCGAUGGGAAAUCCACGGUGCCAUGUGAGGGUGGGCUCCCCAGAGCUCCAUGGGGUGUGCAGGAGGGAUACAGUCCCCAACAGCACCAUAACGGUUAAAGGAGAGAUUUCAGGAAGGGGAACAGAACAGCAGAGAGUGAACUUUGCAGAUAAAUUAUAGCUAAAGAGGAAUGAAACAUUAUAGUUUCAAUUACUGCUGUGCCCAGCCACGCAGGUAGUAAUUCAAACAAGAAACAAUUGGCGGAUUGUCACCCUCAAAUCAGACACAUACCAUUUAAUUCCAUUUACUGAGGGUUCACUGACUGUAUUUUGAAUCAAAUACAGCCAUUAAUGUGCAAAGAUCUGAAAAAUGCAUGUGUCCCUUUUACAAAUGUGACAAUGAGACGCUAAUUCCUGUAAAGCCCUUUUUUCUUCAGGUUGGACUGCUCCUAUUGCCUUUAGUUAUGCAGAUAUUACUUAUUAAGAGUUUUAAUAUGUCAGGCUGGUUCUUUUGAAAUGCCUUGUGCCUUUUUGUUCAGAGCGUGCGGAAAGCGCAGCUAAAUCCAUUCUUACGUUCCAUCAUCCAAACUUAGCAAAUUGAUUCGAAUGCAGGAAAAAAAAAAAAGCUACUUUCAUUAAAACAAUUAAAUCCUUACUAUUAUUGCUGUAUCUGGCUAUUACAGCACAAAUAUAAAUCAUCGGUUACAGGAGCUAAAAGCUUUCAGCUGGAAUUGCUCUACCGUCUGCCCCAUGCCAUGGGCAGGGAGGAAGGAUGACGUGCACCAGGCUUCUUUAUGGGAGAUGCUGCUGCCUAAAUAAAAAAGUCAAGUCCAUAAAGUGAAUAUUAUUGUGCUACCUUGUUUCUCCCCAGCAGUGAAGCAAUGCAUGCCAAUGGGCAGAGCGAAUAGGAGGAAAUAGUUGGGUUGGUUUUCCCUCUCCUCGUGAAUUGGGGGACAUUUUGGAAGGGGCACAAAGGUUUCGGGGGCAGUUGAGUGCUUUUGUUUUCCUUUUCUAAAUAAACCACGGAUCUGCACUGCCACACACUCCCCCCGUGGGGUCACGAAGUGUGCUGCAGAAUAAAAACGGAGCUUUCUGUGAUAGUGCACUUGCCCUUCAGAGCCGCUUGGAUUGCAUCAAAGGGCAAAUUGUUUAAAUAUAAUUUUCCUGAUUACUGAAUAGGUCGACCGAACAGGAUAUGAAAUGCAAAGGCUUUUCUCAUCUUGCUCUUUGCAUCAUCCUAGGGCACACCUCGCUACAGGUGCUGCCUGUUGGCUCAAGGACACUUCCAGGCGGCAGAAUAUCAAAGGAGCAGGGAUGGACAGCCCAGUGCAUCCUGCACAUUUUAAAUUGCUUAAAAAGACUCUUUUGCAAAGGGAGUCUGAGGCAGGGACCGAAAUCAGUGCUCAGCAUGUGGAUUAGACAAACAGAGUGGUCAUUAGCGCUGAUUGUCAUUGUCACACAAGCACAGACUGUUAAUUCAGCCCAGGAGUCAUUAGAAACGAGCCUCAGCGGGGAGAGGGGUUGGUGUUGGUGUAGAUGCUGGAUGGUGGCUCUGCUGGCUUGGCAGAACAUGAAGGAGACCCCUGAGAUCCUACACUGCUCCGGUUGUAAAUUCCAAAUGGAAACUCCCAGGAAUUUGCCAGGAAAAGGAUAAUCACUCAUUAUUCUCAUUUGUGGAAAGCUGUUUAAACCCAGCCCUGCUUUUCUCUCCCCAUUCCCAAGCUGAGCUCAUCACCUUUCUGAGAAGCCACGCUCUUCCAGGACAGUGUCUCCUCUUCCAGCGGGCUUUUGCCCUGGCUUUUCUCCUGGGUCCAUUUGGGAGGGUUCCAUCUUUGCCCCAGUGCUUUUGCCAGUGGCUGCCACCAUCCAGAGAGAUAUUCAGCCUCAAGGAGUCCCCAGCAAAGAGCACCCACUGCCUUCCAGCCUCACCCCAGCAGCAGCGUUGAGGUCCCACAGCUGCAGAGCAGCGCCCGUUGUGCUGUGUGGGUGCCCCUUUAUUGGAGUUCCUCCCACCACGUGCUUGUAAUUUAUUUGUAUUUCCAGCAGAGAUAAUUGAGUUAUCAAUUCUGUGCUCUUUUGGGCCAGAAGCAAAGAGAUCAGAGAGCUGUUUUAUACACCUAAUUAUAGAUUAUUUCCCAUAGCUAUAAAACCACAGAGGGACAGAUCCAGAGAGCAUCCUUUUCAUCUCCACUGACUUUUCCCUUUGCUCUCUCAGACUCGGAUCAGAAGGGCCUCCAGACAAAACAGUUGUCAAAAGCAAGGGCUCCUUAUCUCCUCACAGGACAAAACCUCUCGGCAUCCCAGUAGAGACCGUGCACAGUUGCUUAAAGAUCAAAUUCAACUUAUACUUAACCAAUCUGCUUAAGCCUUUAGCACCUCAUUGAGUCGUGCUGAGAUUUAUUCCGUUUCUGCACACUUUGGCUAUAAUCUGGUUCAUGACAAUGGCCUGGGGGUCUGCUGAGGAUGUAAAAAAUUGAUUUUCUUUGCCACAUGCAGGCUUUGUGGGCUUGCACUUGGCAUGGCCCCUCAUGCCCCUGCUAGCUCCUAUGCUCAGCCUGCUCCCUCCUCCCCAGGCAGCUCUGAGCACCCUGCAGCAUCCGCAGAUCCCGCAGAGCUGCAGUGCAGAGCAGGGGUUGAGGUCCGGCAUACCCGAAUUUUCUAUGUAUGGAAAGAAAUGGGAAGUGUCCGUGCGUCGGUGUUAAGUUUCUGGUGGUGACACGCAGAGGCCAUCCAAGAUGUAUGACCUAGCAAAUGUAUUGUAACGCACACAUCACAUUCGUUCUCUGGGUAAAUAGAUAUUGUCUAGGGUACAUUACAUCUGUGCCUUCGUGUUUAAUUUAAUGUAAGUGAACUGCCUUAAUUUCUCCAAAUUGUAGUAAUAAACAUAACGUUAACGGUGAUACUGCUAAUAAUUUAUUUUGCAAGCGAUUAAUCAACAACAAACUCUUUUAAUUACCUGUUCUGAAAUGUCAAACUCUAAACUAAUUACAUGUUAUUACAUGAAUUCAUGUAUAUGUAUACACAAAUACGAAUUCCAAGGGUAAUUAAAAUGAAUAAACCAUCAGAUUUGGUAAAAUCAUGCAGCUGAGAGAAGUUUGCUCUCCACUGCAUUUCUGCCUCUUUGCAUUUCAUCCUCAGCACAAAGGGAGCUAGAUUCCAAGGCUCUGAGCGAGUCGUUUGUGCUUCUGCAAAAAAAUAUUACCCACAGAAAGUGGCAAACCCCGUGGGAUCUAUGCUGAGAACCACAAGGAAGAGAGGAAAGCAGCUGUGCUGCUCUGCUGGGGGGAGUACAGAGUGUGGGGCUCAUUUGGGUGCUCCCUGUGCAGGGGGUGAAACCAAGCAGGACAGAAGUGGGUGGUGUACAUUUGCUGUACUCAAUAAUUGGCAACGAUUUUUGGAAGGAGAUUGGGGGUGAAAUUAACAGAUUUGGGGCACGACCAAAUCUGUUCUCCAUUUUGUGUCCUUGUUGAGUCUCUCCGUGCAGGCACAACACAGUGCUCUUUGCAACACCCUGGUGACCCCUAGAUGAGAUUUGGAAGACCACUUCUUUGCACUGGCACUCCAGACAUCAUGGCCAAGUGCCCCCAGCAAUGUGGGGCUGUAUGCCAGUGGGUCACGAAAGGAUGGAGACCACCAGCUUGGAGGGUCUGGGAAUGAAGCCUUUAAUUCAGGGGUGGACACUGAGGCAGUCCCAAUGGCUUGCAGCAUGGGCUGGAAGAACAGGAUGAUUAAUGAGAGCAAUGGCACGAAGGAGCCAGGAACUAAGUAAUGAGACCUUUAUUUGAUACAUAAUACAGCCGGGGCCCUCUAUAAAGAGAAUACCAAGAGUAGGGCUAAGUUUCACAGUUCUGGGAAUGUAUCAGGAAGGGGGAAAGCUUUGCUGACUUUGCAGCCAAACGCCUGGGCCAUCCGCAAGUGUUGUUCGCAGUGAGCUUGGGACAUGUUAAUUUGGUCAUAUAUCUUCAGAUGGUGGCAAGAUGCCCUGACUUUUGAUUUACUGUGCUGAGUGGGUCUGUGUGAUGUUGUGGGUUUAAAAUGAGGUGUCCAGAGCCUGAUUCAGUCACAGGAUCACUGAAUUCCAGCUGGGAGAUGAAGAAGCCGUUAUACACACACAACAAGAACUUCCAGCCAAAAAUUACUUAUGGUUUCAAUUAAAGGAGAAGAAGUUGCUGAUUGUUUAGGUAUGGAUGUCAGAAACACAGCAGUUAACAGCAGAGAUGAAUGAGAGAUAGUGAGGUGAUAACUUAGAUAAAUUGGUAUCUCAUCCAUAUUAAGGAGACAGCUCAUCCUCUGGUGCUGCUGGAUGACAUGAAGAGUGGAGUGUAUAUGGAUACUAAAAAACGUUGGUCUUAAAGUUAAAUCCCCAAGAACCAUCAGAAAUAAGUCUCAGAAGCCAAAGUGAGAUCUGAUGCACGCUGCAAAAAUAUGCAGUCUGUCAGGGAACGCUGCUCUCUCCAUAUAACUUCCACCGUUUGUGGGACAAUUAUAGAGAAAAUGAUACUGUGAUCUGUAAAGCAGUUCCUGCAGUGGUUUUAUUCACUAACUCGAUGCCACGCAUAAUCAUAGCCAGUAACAUCUCCAGAGGUGUGUGCAUAAUAGAGAGACAUCAAGUCAAUGAGUCAAAACAUCAGAAAAUAAAAUUCAGAUGAACAUCACUUGCAGAAAUUCUAUCAUCUGUCAUUUAACGCUGUCUGAAGACCUCCACGUUGAAAUAAGGCGUGGAAACCAGAAGUUACCCCAGGCAGCAGUCCUUAGGACCUGCACGGACUCAGGGUUCUCUGCAAGUUGGGUUGAGUGCCAAAGAAGUUCUCUUGCGAUCUUAAAACUCAAGCACCCAAAAAACACCAUAGAGGGGAAGGCAGGGAGCAGGGAGGGUCUGUCCUGCCGUGUCCCCACCUCAGAUCCUGCCCAGCAUCACCCAAGCAGCUGCUGCUGGGAGCGGAGUUGCUCCUGGAUCACCUUAAGGCUAUUUGCAGCUCUUGCUGAUGCCCUUUCAAUACCCAAUCCCGAAACUUUUCAUGCGAGGAAGCUUGCAGGAUGACAGAUUGCACCUUAAAACAAAGAGGUAAUAGCUCUUAGGUCCAGAUCUGUUCUUGGAACUAAAUUCACUGCAGAAGAAGUGUUUCUGCACAACUGCAUAAUGCCUCAAAGUGGCAUUUUACAAUCUUUAAAUUCCAACACCGAUGAAGAAUUCUGCUUUAAACUACUGCAGCAGCCCAGCCCCCCUUUAUUUAUGAGUAAUAGGCUUUUCAUUUAGAUUUAACUACAGAUUUGAGUGGUUUCCAUGUGCCAGGGCUCGGAGUCACACCAGUGUCUCCUGAGGUGGCCGUGCUGUUUCCACAGAGUCACUCGGGAUCCCCAACAAACCUGUCUUUGCAUACAUACGUGUGUAUUUUAUAUAGAUGUACGCAUGCACUUCAUUUUUAAAAAGACAAAGUUUUUAUUCCAGGCUUCAUUUUCCUUUAAACCGUAUGAAGCCAAAGUUCGAAAGGAUGACCCAAAAUUGCCAGUUUGAUUGUAAUUUCCCCCAAAAGAUUUUGGGUUGUAGGUACAUAGAGAACGAUGGCUUUGCUUCCUCCUUUCUGCUCAUCAUCCCAUGCAAUGCUGAUGUGCCAGGAAGCGUGGAUGGGAUCAGGGAGCUUGGUGAGUUUGCCACAUCAGUAGUCACUGAGAGUGCCUGAAGUUUCAUUUUUCAAUGGAAAGCUGCAGUGAAACGAGUAUUUUGCUACUCAUCUUGUUAUUAUUCAUCAGUGCUUCCAAGAACCUCUCAGCCCUUUGUUUCUUGGGAAAGGCAUGGUGCUUAAAGGGGCUGAAAGGUGGAUUUUGUGGAAAGCCCAACCCACAUCUUUGAUCCCAGCGGUUUUGUAAGGCAUUCGUUUUGCUCGCUGGGAAAAUCUCUGCCCUCCCCACUCCCUCACCUCCCUCUCUUUCCCCUCCACCUAAGUUACCUCGUCUGGAUCCGAAGGAACGCUUGCCAUCCUUUGAAGAGGUAGUCUCGUCCGAAAAAUCAAUAGUCAACAUUGUCUUUAAAUAGUCUGACAUUUACCUUUACAGCAGUUUUCAUUUCUUUCCCAGAUUGCUCAGACGUUUGUAUUACCCACACACUACAUCCCUGAUCUCUCGGCCGGGAGCUUUGCACGGAUGCAGCCCCGGUGCUGCAGAGCGGCCACCAGCAAGGAACUGCAGCACGAUAAUUAACAGGACGGGAGCUCACUAAUAGAAGCAUCUUUAACUAAUUUAUGGAAGACAUCAGGUGAGAAUAAUUACAAGCAGAAGGGUAUUGUAAAUCCCUGAAGAAAAUACACUUGGAAUGCAGUUUUCCCAACAAGCAAAUCUGAAUGCUAGCCCAAAGGUCAGAAAUAAAAAGGCUGAGAGCUUCAGCUCCCCGAGCAGGCACCUCUCCGAUCCCUUCUUGUCAAGAAAUUGUCUGGGGGUUCAUUUAGAAAGCUGCUUGUUCAGGGCAGGGCCAUUUGCAAUCUGGGAAAGUUAAGCAAAUUAGCAGAAUUAUUAGGUAAGAGGCAAUUCUCCACAGCCUGCAAGGCAACCGCUUGUUAAAUGAGCUCACACCAGAGAGUUGCACUGAUCGAGUGGUGUUUGCAGAGACGGGGCUGUGCAGGCAUUUGCUCUGAAAUAAUACUGCUGUAUUCCCCUGGAAAAAUUAAAAAAAAAUGGGAAUUUGUGCAGGCUGAGCUGGAAGAUGCCUCUGUCUUCCAUACGCAUUCCUGCUUCUCUGCUCCUUCUGCUAUAAUAAAUAUCAUAAUCCUAGCAAAUGAGAGAAGGAGAUUAACCCGACACCUUUAACCCAGUUACUGCUUAAAAUAGGGAGCAGUGUGGUGCCACGAGGCCCCAAAGCAGGUGGCUCUGCACCCGCUGUCCCCUGGGGCUCAUAGGGACAGCUGUGCACUGCAGCCCCGCUGCUCUGUGCAGUGUUGGGAGUGGGAUCCAACUCAGGUCCUGCAAGGAGCCCACCCAAGGGUGGCUCACACUGCUCACUUGUUUUUCUAUACUCUUUGCCUAUUGAUUUGAUAUUUUUAUACCUUAUACAGUGCACUUAGCACAGAAAAAAAAAAUGGAUUAACCAAGUAAAUGUGCUUUAUUAGCGGAUCUCUGAUGGAGAAUGAUGUCGGUUUUCCAUUUAAAAGAUGCAUCGGAUUCAUCCACUCAUGAAUCAAUUAGUUCAUGCUUGAGGACCUCCUAACAUGCCACAUAAAAAACUCCCAAUGUCAAACUGCACGCUGGGUGGAACAACCAAGGGUUUCAAAUGAAAAAAGUGCAUCACUGGGAAACCUUUGGCUCUUCCACCACCACUAGGAUGGAAGCACUCUGCCCAACUCUUAGUUAACACAUUCUUUCUGUUCCUUGGUUUCUUAAAAUCUUUCUUUUUUUCAAGUUUUUAUUGACAGCUUUACACUCCUCCCUCUGCUAUACAAUGGAGACGGGCACAUAUCGUAAGCCUUUCCAAUGGUAGUUUUGGGGUCAGGCUGAUUAGAUUUGGGAAGUGUCAAUUGUUGAAUGCUGUCCUCCUUCUGUCUGAGACUAACAACUCUCCCUACUCAGAGGGUUGGCCCUCUUUCUGUCCUUCCUGAGGUUUAGGGCUCAUUGGUCCAUGCUCCACACCAUGAAAAGGCACAUACACUUUCCUAGUGAUUCACAUUUCUGCUUAGAUAAGAACCAACAGGCUCCAUCCCACCCUGGAGCCCCUGGGACUAUGUGGAAGGUCGCAGUGUUUAUUUUUGGUCUUGUCCAAUUAAAGACAAUGACCUGGAGUAGAUGAGAUGCCUGGGCAUGCAUUCAUAUCACAGGCAUAAUGCAAGAACCGUAGGCAUUUAAAUGGGAAUUCUUUCUCACCCGGUUAGACCGAUGCGUAAGGAAAUAAUCCAAGUGGGGCAUUGACAAGAUAUUUUUUGUUGUAAGUCUGCAUGCUAAAACCCCUAAAUAAAAGGAUUUUACUCCUUGAGAGAAAGAGGAAAGGCUAUGCACACCCAGCCUGAGGUGUCACUACAACUCAAUGGGAGCAAUGCACGAGCACUGAGCUGCUGGGAUGGCUGCCUGCACAUUGGGUGCCCACACUAUGUACAGAGCAGAGGGCACUGCUUAAACCUCAGUCAAAUAAGUAAACAUGGACAAGGAAGUAAAAACAGACGCACUUUUUUCUCAUUGCUGCGAAGAAUUCAGGCCAUGCAAGCACCAGGGCUGUGCAAAGAAGAGCAACUAUGUUUAAGAGCAUCCUUCUCUCUCUUGGAUGUACAUCCAACAGCAGAUAACAUCACCCAGCCCUUUCUGCUUUUGGAAACCAUGUGCAGCACAACUUGCUGCUCACAUUUAAUCCAAACUGAUGUCCUACGGCUGUCAUAUGCAUGAUUAUGGCAGUCGUUUUUAAUUAGUGAUUGUGUCAAUAGUAUUGACAUUUUCAUCACUUUUGGGGGAAGUAGAGAAUAUUUUCCAGCAGGUGAAGUCCCCUCUUUGCAGUUCUCUUCCCCUCCAGCUGCACCUACUGGAUAAAUGAGCUAUGCAUCUUAUUAAAAAGAAAGCAAGAGCAUUAAGUCUGUUCUCUGCUUAAGUACAUUACAGCAACUUAGGCAACACGAAACUCAAGAAAGGCAGAAAAGCAAAUACCCUCUGUCCUAUGGCAAGAUUUACAAUCUUGUUCUGAGUGCAAUAUUUAUUAUACGGCUUAACAGAAGCUCUGGCAGGAUGGGGGAAAUGCUGGCGGCCCCGUGACGAGGAGGAGGCGUUCAAUAGCUUGCUGGGAAGUGGAGUUGGACACGAACUGAUCAACCAGCCAUUACACUCAGUGAUAAACACCCUGCAGGAGCCAUCAUUCACCCAGGAAGAAAGAGGAAGGCAGAUCAUUACAUUUAUUGGUCAUAGUUUUUAAAGAGUCAAUAAAGACCCACUAGAAAAGACACGGUUAGGAGCAGGAAUAUAUAUAUUUUUUUCAUGUAUCUUGAAAAUACCUUCAGCUCAGUUUGCUUUCUGCCCAAUACGUCAGGGUGAAUCUUCAUCCUAGGUGAUGGUCCCAGUGUAGACGGUGCUCAUAUUGUACAGUUUUUAAUGUCUUUAACCAUCUUUAGCUUUGUACCCUGAUAGCCCCUCCAGGCUAUAUGUCAAUGCCAUCUGGGAGUAAAAGAAGAGACUUCUGCUCAAGUAACGCUGUAAUGUAGAUCUCUCGACUAAAAUUGCACUUCCUUCACUUGACAAACUGUCAGCACAGAACAAUUAUCUGCCUGUUGGUUUGCUUGUCUUUUCUUUUUUUCUCCUCUCAGAAAAAAGAAAAAAAAAGAAAAAAGAAGAAGAAAAAAAAAACCAUACAAAGGAAAAGGACCUGCAGAGUAAAAUGCCGUGGGCAAAAUCCACAUAAUCUGAUUGCUGCGCCCAGAGAUGCAUUGGUGGACCACCAAAGGUAAAAGUGGGUCUAAUGCUAAAGGAGAGGGACAAUUUCUAGCUCCUUUCUUUCGGGGAUUUCCAGAGAGGAUAUUGCUAAAUAGAAGAUUAGGGAGGAAGAGGCAAGAGUCAUUAGACCCCUCUGCUUGUCUUGAGGGAGAAACCAAAACAGGCUGGAAGAGUCCAAAGCUUGAGUCCUGCUCAACAAGCUGAAGGAACCAUUUGAUUUUUCUCUCCUGGUAAGAAAGGAUGAGGAUGAUGUCUUUAGGGAAGAGAGCCAACCUGAUUUUUUGCUAGCCAUCUUGGUGUUAAUGGGACCGUGCAGUUCAUUUGGAGAAUACCCACAAAGCAUGAGUAGAGCCCCAAGAGGUGUAAUCUAAAUUAGUGGGUAAAUUUAUUUGUGCACUUUUUUUUUACUGUUUUAUUUUCCUUCUUCCCUUCUGUACCACCUCUUUUGCCACCUCCUCUGCUUCACCUGACAGAUGAAUGUGUUCAGGUCUUUGGGACAGAUAAUGUGUCUGUAUCCCUUUUAAAAGUCCUGUACAAACACUAUGGAUAGGAGAGUGCAGGUGUAUUUAGUCUGGUGUGUUUAGCAGAUUUAGAUUAUGAAUUACUGCUCAAAAUAACGUUUGCAUUUGCUGACAAAGGUCUUUAUUACAGAAGAGGUCAAGAAAAAAAGAUUAUUCCUGCUAAUUAUCCACUGCUAUUUAAUAUUUGCACAAAAGGUUUGCAAGACAGAGUCCUCAGCAUUGCUUUGUUUGAGAAGCUAAUAGGGUUUCUAGGAAACCAGCAGGGUCUGGAGGGCCAUCAGAUCAGCCUGUUAGUGGCUUUGAAGGACAAUUAGGCCUGAUGGAGUUACAGGGUGGUUGGCUAAAGGAUGGCAGUCCCUGAGCCAGGGCCUGAUGCUGGGGCAUUCAAAGUCAGUGGUAGAACUUCCACUCAUAGCUGUGCUUUAUGAGAAGCCAACUGGAGAGGAUCCAGUUUUCACACCCUGGGUAGGUCCAUGUCCUGGUUGAAAUGGAAGCUCCAUUUGCUCCUAUGCAGAGCAUCAGAAGGGAUUUGAGAGUGAACAGGUUUGACAGACAAACUGUUGGGAGGAAUAUUAGCAAUUAUUUUUUGGCCCUGGUCUUAGGUUUGUCCCUGUAUAUUAGCAGUCCUUGGAAAGUUCCCCCAAAGUCUAACAGCUGCCUUUGGCUUGGCCCCCACAUUUCUUGCAUUGGUUCAUAGUAGCCUGUAUCGUUCUACAAAUUCCUUAUUAAGUGAAUUGAAGUUCCCAUUCAUAAAGAUAUAAUUAACCAAUAAAUAUACCUGCAGAAAUUUCCAAACGUAGAUGUCUGAAGGUGAGAUCCAAGUUUAAGCUCCUAAAUACAUGGCCCAACUUUAAAAUCCCCACAUCCAUCUUCUUGCUUCAAGUGAAAUGGAAGCUUCCUACUAUUCAGUGCUCAGAUGGCUGUGGGGUACCAAAACACAGACCAAGGUGAUGUUUUGGCACACGGGUUUAUAGAGUGAUCAAAGUAGUGUGACAUCAUUGCACAACAACUGCAUCAGAUGAUAAAAUGCCAUGUACUCAUAACAUGUUGUAUGGAUGCUG